GGCCUUGUGGCCUAAUGGAUAAGGCGUCGGACUUCGGAUCCCAAGAUUGCAGGUUCGAGUCCUGCCAGGUCGA
rnacentral:tRNA from 1 species